rnacentral:lncRNA from 1 species
GCAGAUCAAGAGCAUCUCAUCCUCCGGCUGCUGAGUCAUCCUGCUCUGGCAGUUAUUUAAACAGAAGGCUCCAGGAGACAUACAAUCAACACUCCACUCAGACAAUGCCCAGACCUCCAGAAACCAUGUGUCAAGCUCGGAUUGCCUUAGACAGGUGCAAUUUAAGAACAGCUUUCAUCCUCUUUUCUCUCAUAUUGUCACACUAUGUGUUCUGACUUCUGGCUCCUUUCCUCACAAGAAGCUCACCCAGCUGGAACUCUUAUGGGACCUUGGCACCAGAGACCACAAAUUCCUCUUUGAAGUUUUCUAACAGCAACAAUGGUAUUUCUGACUUGGCUUUCUUGUAUUUCUCUCACGUUAACAAAAUUGGUUCAGCAUCUACCAUGGGCUACAUGCUGAGCUACAGAGUUUCGCUCUGUCGCCCAGGCUGGAGUGCAGUGGCGCGCGAUCUCGGUUCACUGCAAGCUCCACCUCCCGGGUUCACGCCAUUCUCCUGCCUCAGCCUCCUGAGUAGCUGGGACUACAGGCGCCCGCCACCACACCCAGGAAUCCAACUUGCUGUUUGCUAUCACAUGUGCUAUACAUGCUGUUGAUGAAACUGCUAAAGGGGCUGAAUGUGACUGACGUCUUUGGAAGGAUGAGACUUAGCGUGCCUGUACAGUUGUGUCCAAAUGCUGUCCUCAUCUCCCAAUGAAAAGGGUUUUUCCUUAAGCCUCACAACAAUUUACAGCAUUGCCAGCAGCAUUCAGUACAUUCAGAACAGGAUAAUUUCACCCGCAGCUGAACUAGGGCCAUGCCUGGGACAGACAGAGAAUGGCCUUCCAGCAGACAUGCCAAGAAGCAAGCCAGGGUCAGUGAGUGAAGAGGAGGGCAGGCCCAUUUGAAGCAACACAGUUUAUAUACAUGAAAAGAAAGAAGGAGAGAAGGAAGAAAGGAGGGCGGAAGGAAAGGAAGAAGGGAGAGAAGAAGAGAAGAAAGAAGCAGAGAAAGGAAGAGAAAAGAAAUUACGGCCAGUGCGGUGGCUCACGCCUGUAAUCCUAGCACUUUGGGAGGCCUAAGCGGGCUGAUCACCUGAGGUCAGGAGUUCGUAAGCCAGCCUGGCCAACAUGGUGAAACCCUAUCUCUACUAAAAAUACAAAAAUCAGCAGGGCAUGGUGGUGCGUGCCUGUAAUCCCAGCUACCUGGGAGGCUGAGGUAGGAGAAUCGCUGGAACCCGAGAGGCGGAGGCUGCAGUGAGUUGAGAUCAUGUCACUGCACUCCAGGCUGGGCAACAGAGUGAGACUCUGUCUCAGAAAAAAAAAAAAAGAAAGAAAGAAAGAAAGAAAGUUACCAUUAGUUUUUUGUUGUAUUUGCAAGCAAAGACAAAAGCACCAAGGUACUUGUUUCCUUCUGUAAUUAGAGUUUCAAAUAGACUAAAAGUUUCUGCUCUUAGGUGGGUCUAGAGACUCUCCAGUACCUCAGGACCUCAGGACACAUGGGGUCUCUUGGUUGUUUUCUUUUCAUUGUUGUUGUUUAUUUUAUUUUUGUUUUUAUUUUUUAACUUUAAAACAAUUUUUUGUAGAUGAAUAUGCUUACAUAUGUUUGGGGGUUUUUUUGAGACAGGGUCUUGCUCUGUUGCCCAGGCUGGAGAGCGGUGGUUUAACCACAGCUCACUGCAGCCUCGACCUCCCAAGGUAGGGACUGCAGGUGUGUACACUGGGGUGCACCACCACACCCAGCUAAUUUUUAAAUUUUUUUUUGUAGAUAUUGUCUCACUCUGUUGGCCAGACUGGUCUUGAAAUCCUGGGCUCGAGCAAUUCUCCUGCCUCGGCCUCGUAACGCGUUAGGAUUACAAGCGUGAACACCGCACCUGGCCAGCAUGUGGUCUCUUAACCAGAGGAGGCCUCUUCUGAACUAGGUAGAGGUCCUGAGAAUUGAUUCUGAGAGUAAAAGGCUCUUUGUUCUCCUCAGAGUAGAUUAGAAUCCCUAAUGAUAGAGCAUCUAUUAUUCCUCUAGUGGUCCAUGCCCAACAGAUUCAUCCAAGAAUAGAUGAAGAUCUUUGUAAUGUUGUGCAAGUAAUCUAAUCACCCCACAGAAGAGCUGUGACUUAAAUUAUCCCAGAGUCGGCCCACCUGUUUUCAUAAAGAUCAAUGUAACUUGUAAAUUUCUUCAGUUCUCCUCACCUAUCAUCAUUUGACUAACAAAACCCAGAAAACUAGGCUAGUUAUGGUGGCCUAUGCAUAUAAUCCCAACUCUUUGAGAGGCCAGGGUGGGUGGAUUGCUUGAGUCCAGGAAUUCGAGACCAGCCUGGGCAACAAAGGGAGACCCUGCCUAUAUCCCAGCUAUGCAGGAGGCGAGGCCAGAGGAUUGCCUGAGCCUCAGAGGUUGAGGCUGUAGUGAGCCAUGAUUGCCCCACUACACUCCAGCCUGGAUGACAGAGUGAGACCCUGCCUUAAAAAUAAUAAUAAUAGUAAUAAUAUUUCAUAAAGAUACAGGAAACUAGAUUAUAAUUGACAUUUUCAAAGUGAAAUACUGUCUAGAAUGGUGCUUGGCCAACAGUAAGCUUUUUGUAAGUGGAAGUCAUUACUACUACUAUUUCUUUCAUUAUUAUUACCAUUACUACUUUUUUUUACAAAAAAAAAACCCUGGACAACACACUGAAACCAUUACUACUUCUACUACUAUAACUUAGGUUGCACCUGAUAGAGCCAGCAAUUUUUCCAAGGUAUGACAAUGGCCAUAUGUUUAAUGAUAUAAUUCUAUGGCUCAGUGUAUCUCAGCCUUUUUAAACCCUGCUCUUCUUUUGACAAUUGUAAAAAUCUUAAACUGACCUCCAGUUGAAAUCCUCUGUCAAGAAGAUAUUGUCGGCCAGGGGCGGUGGCUCACACCUGUAAUCCCAGCACUUUUGGAGGCCGAGGUGGGAGGAUCACUUGAGGUUAGGAGUUCAAGACCAGCCUGGCCAACAUAGUGAAACCCCAUCUCUACUAAAAAUACAAAAAUUAGGCAGGCAUGGUGGUGUGUGCCUGUAAUCCCAGCUACUCAGGAGGCUGAGGUAGGAGAAUUGCUUGAACCUGGCAGGGCAGAGGUUGCAGCAAGCCGAGAUCACGCCACUGCUCUCCAGCCUGGGUGAGACUGUCUCAAAAAAAAAAAAAAAAAAGAAAGAAAGUAAGAAAAAGAAGAAAUCCCAAUCUCUUCUUUUAUGUGGAUUCUUCCUCACUUGAAUAAUACUUUUCUUCCCCAGUAUUCUCCAUAUUAUCCCAGAGUCAGCCCCUCUGUUUUUGUAAAGAUCUACGUAACCUCCUCUAAGUUUCCCAGUUCUCCUCACCUAUCAUAUCAUUUGGCUCAACAAAGGGCAGGAAGCUAGAUUCUAAUUGAUAUUUUGAGGCCGGGAGCAGUGGCUCAUGCCUGUAAUCACAGCACUUUGGGAGGCUGAGGCGGGCAGAUCACUGGAGGUCAGGAGUUCGAGACCAGCCUGGCCAAUAUGGUGAAACCUCGUCUCUACUAAAAAUACAAAAAAUUAGCCAGGCUUGGUGGCUUGUACCUGUAAUCCCAGCUACUCAGGAGGCUGAGGCAGGAGAAUAGCUUAAACCUGGGAGGAAGAGGUUGCAGUGAGCCGAGAUUGCUCAAUUGCACCCCAGCCUGGGUGACAGAGCAAAACUCCAUCUCAAAAACAAACAAACGAACAAACCUGAUAUUUUCAAAAUUGAGGCAAUUAUAACAGCUAUUUAGCCAAGCAUUAUGAUAGCAAUAAUAGCAAGAAAAUAAAUUAGUUAACAAAUGAGUCUCAGAAGCCCAAUGAUUUUUAUUUUAUUUUUAUUUUUUGAACUUUUAUUUUAGAAUCAGGGGAUACAUGUGCAGGUUUGUUACCCGGGUAUAUUGCAUGAUGCUGAGUUUUGGAGUAUGCAUGAAUCCAACCUGUCAUCCAGGUAGUGAGUAUAGUACCCAACAGAUAGUUUUUUUAACAUUUACUUCACUCCCUUCCCCAAUCUUGUAUUCCCCUGUGUCUACUGUUCCCAUUUUUAUGACUGUGCCAACAAUAAUUUUUUUUCUUUUUUCUUUAAAUAGAGAUGGGGGUCUCUAUUUAAAGAGCCUCCCAAAGUGCUAGGAUUACAGGUGUGAUCCAUUGCACCUGGCCCAUGCCAACAAUAUUUGAAACCCUUAUCUGCGUGUACAAGUUUGCUACUGGUUUUGUUUUGCUCAUUAAUACAUCCCAAGCAUCUAUACCUGGCUUGUAGUACCAGCAUGUAGUAGGUGCUUAAUAAAUAUUUAUUGAAUAAAUAAAUUAGUUUGACAUUAGUUUAACAUCUCAAGUAAAACAAAAUACCAUUCAAUUAAUUCUCUUCUUCUACUUUUUUCUUUUAAGAGAGACAAAUAGUCACACAUACAUCAGCAGGAGAGGAUACAAUUUCCUGUGUUUAAGUUUUUAUGAGUUACUUUAGUUCAAAUGUCACAGAAAAUUAUAUUGAACUCUUGACCAAUCUAUCUAUUUUUUCCAUUGGAGUAUUGACCCAAAUAAGAAAUAGCAUAAAGGAAAAAUUAUUUUUUGGCAGAAAAAUAUUCUCUCUAAAUUCUUGUGUGUUUUGUUUUGAUUUUUUCCUUAGUGACUGGAGGCCAGUUUCAAUCCACUGAAGCACAGAUUCCAAAUUUUCAAUCUGGUUUUCUUGAGUAGUGACUGAGUGCCAAAAAUGAAGCAAUGACACAACAUCACCAUCAAGACACUCCCCAGCACGCACACACAUGCCAGAGUCCAACACCAAGAUACUCCCCAGCACGCACACACACGCCAGAGUCCAGGCCAUAUUCGGGUGGCUUGCAAGCUUCUUCCCCCCAAGUAUUUACUCUCAAAAUAAUGGUUUUUGUUUUGUUUUGGUUUGGUUUGGUUUGUUUUUUUCCAAAUACAUUUCUUCCCUAUAUCUUUAACCAAUUCUCAUAAAAUUUUGUCUAAUACACUGGUCAGUGUAUUCCAGACCCUAAAAGAUAACAUAAUGAAACUAUCUAUGACUAAAAGGUAAUCAGGAUCUUCUACUUAUCCUUUUUUCCUCCCUCUUAAACUUUAAUUUUGAUACAUUUGGGAGUGAAAUGAUGACAAUAAAUGCAAAGUAAUUAUUGAAGAAACAGUAAUUUUGUAUUAGCUUACUGAAAAAAAAAAAAAAGAUAACCAAAUAUAUUUUGGCAGCCCCAAACGAGUCACAUGUGAAAUGCAGUGGGAGAGCAGUGUCCUGAAGGAAAAGGUGGCCUGCUGGACAGCCAAGAGAACAAACAUCCACUGCAAGUAAUAUGAGCUCUAAGUUUGGACUAGGCCUAUGUCUGCUCUGAGACUUGGGGCAAUUCACUUAAUCAGAGCCUUAAUCAGCUACGGACUAGCAAUAUCCAUACCCGCUACUUAUUUUGUAAAUCUCCUUUCUAAAGUUAACUCUAUUUAUUGUUCCAUAAUCCCAUAAAUUCUAGAAUCUUUUCCUGUUAUAGCCAAGUUGUCUAUCAUUGACAGAGAUAUUCACCUGGUUGUUUUGGCUUCUCUAAUCCUCCUGGUGAGAACACCUCCAAGGGAGCUUUCAGUGGCAUUUAAGGUCACUUGUGCUCUUGGUCCUAGAAACUGCCUUGAUAGUGGUUUUAGCUCACAUGAGGUAAGUCUUUAUUAUAUGCCCAACCUCUUUAUGCAUUACUUCAUUUAAUUGUAUACUAAUCCUUUGUCAUAGGUUAUCAGAGUGUUUGAUUAUAAGUUACAGGAAGAAAAAAAAAAACAAACUCCAAUUGACUAAAACAAUGGGGCAUUUUUUGACUCACAUAACAGAGAGUCUAGAGAGAAGGCACCUUCAGGUUUGGCUGAUGAAUCCUGUAUCUCUGCCUUGUCUCCAGGCCCCCAGGUUCUGCCUCUGUCCUGACAUCCAGUGUUGGAUUCCUCUUCACAUCAACUCCUCUCUAGCUGUGGCAAUUCCUUGAACCACACUGAUUGCUAUAAAGUGGAAGAGGAAUAGAUUGAAUUUUGGGGAGUCAACUACAAUGUGUACUACAGGUAAAUACUAUGAAUUUCCAAUUCACAGAUGAGAAAACUGAGGCAUGUGGUGGGAGGGAGGUUAUGUAAUUUGCCCAGUGUCACAGUUGAACCUAGGCAAAGGCCUAUCUCCAGGUCUAAACAAUUCAGUGGCCUCCUGUGUACAUUUCUGUCUCUCCUUUUUUAUCCACUGUGUCACCGAGGCUGGAUUGCAGUGGCUCGAUCAUGGAGAUCAUGGCUUUCUGUAGCCUUGAACUCCUGGGCUCAAGUGAUCCUCCUGCCUCAGCUUCCUGAGUGGCUGGGACUACAGGCUUGACAACACACCCGGCUAUCCCGUGUAUAUUUCUUGAGGGCUUAUGAUAUAUAAGAGAAACUCCAAAAUAAGAGGACGGUGUGCUAAGGGGAAGACCAAAGCACUAUCAAGAGGUAGAUUCAAUCGUACCCCUUCUAUUUACUAGUUGUGUGACUCUUUUGAAAAUGAGAAUAAUAGGCCAGGCUCGGUGGCUCCUGCCUGUAAUCCCAGCACUUUGGGAGGCUGAGGCAGGUAGAUCACCUGAGGUUAGAAGUUCAAGACCAGCCUAGCCAACAUGGCAAAACCCCAUCUCUAUUAAAAAUACAAAAAUUAGCCGGGAAUGGCAGCAUGUGCCUGUAGUUCCGGCUACUCAGGAGGCUGAGGCAGGAGAAUCACUUGAACCCAGGAGGCAGAGGUUGCAGUGAGCCGAGAUUGCGCUACUGCACUUCAGCCUGGGUGACAGCGAGACUCCAUCUCAAAAAAAAAAAAAAAGGAAGAAAAGAAAAGAAAAUGGGAAUAAUAAAACUUACUUACUGGAGCAGUAGCAAAGAUUAAAAUUUAGACCAUGCAGAAGAAUGUUUUUCAAAAUGACAUGACCUGGUAAUAGGAUAGAAAUGCAAAUUCCUGUUACUGCACCAGACCCACCAAAUAAGAAACUCUGGGGAUGGGACCCAGGACUAAGUACUUUAAUAAGCACUCCAGGUGAUUCUAAUGAUUGUUAAAGUUUGAGAACCACUGGUCUAACACAUUGCCUGGUACAUAAGCUCUUAUUUUGUUGUUAUUGUUCUAAGGACAAUGUGUGUAUUGACUUCUAUUUCCAGGAGUUCAUGACUUGGAGAACUAGGGAAAGGAAGACAAAAAUUCUUUAAUGCAGAACGAUACUGAUUGAUAAAUACCUGAAUAUAAUACAGGUUAAAUGUGCUUUGAAGAUUUAUAAAAGGUUGAAUUUAUUUCCAGCAAGAUGACUCUCAGAAGCCUUUAUAGAUUAGAGAAGAAAUGGAAAGGGGUAAAAAUAAUUAGGAACUAUAAAGCAGGGCAGACAAGUUUUCAAUGGUUACUGCCAAUGUGUAUACAGAAAGUUAGCUUGGCCAGGCAAAGUGGCUCAUGCUUGUAAUAUCAGCACUUUGGGAGGCCAAGGCGGGCAGGUCACCUGAGAUCAGGAGUUUGAGACCAGCCUGACCAACAUGGUGAAACUCUAUCUCUACUAAAAAUACACAAUUAGCCCAGCAUGGUAGAGCAUGCCUGUAAUCCCAGCUACUCAGGAGGCUGAGGCAGGAGAAUCGCUUGUACUUGGGAGGCAAAGGCUGCAGUGAGCUGAGAUCGUGCCAUUGCACUCCAUCCUGGGAAACAAGGGUGAAACUCCGUCUCCAGAAAAAAAAAAGUUACCUUGAAAUAUAUCAAUACAAACAAAUAAAUUAGAUAUUUCAUAUUGUACAGGAACAAAACCCAUCAGAAGAUGUCAGAAGAUAAGGAUUUUUGUCCUGAUGCUACACUUACCAGCUGUCCCUCAGUGUUCUACUUCUUAAAAAAAGAGAGGUUGGUCCUGAUCCCUGGUUCUUAACCAGGGGAAAAUGAAGUGGGGCCAGGGCAUGUGCAGACUUAAAAAUUACACAGGGGAAUGUAGGCACGAUCUGUUUAAGAAAUACUGGACUAAAUGGUCUCUAAUCUGUGAUUGUAGAUUAAAGAAUAAUCUACAAUCUACACCGUGUUGGCCAGGCACGGUGGCUCACACCUGUAAUUCCAGCACUUUGGGAGGCUGAGGUGUGUGGAUCACAUGAGGUCAGGAGUUCGAGACCAGCCUCACCAAUGUGGCAAAACCCCCUCUCUACUAAAAAUACGGAAAAUUAGCUGGGUGUGGUGGUGCAUGUCUGUAGUCCCAGCUACUCGGGAGGCUAAGGCAUGAGAAUUGCUUGAACCUGGGAGGUGGAGGUUGCAGUGAGCCAAAAUCACGCCACUGCACUCCAGCCUGGGUGACAGAGUGAGACUCUGUCUCAAAAAAAAAGAAAAAAUAAAUAAUCAAAUGUAAAGUUAGCACAUAAAGGAGGCAUGUACAUAUUAUUAAAAUCUAUAUGACUACCUCUCCUUUUUCAUUUUUGGCUCAAUAUCUGUAUCUGAACACCUAAUUAAUGAAAGGAAAACAUUUGUAAUAUGUAGCAACUAAAAUGUCACCUUCUCUGUGGGGAUCACAAAGUCCUUGGCAAUCACUUCCAUACCAGACAAGUGAGUAUUGUCCUUCUCCUUUUCCAGAUGGAUAAACAGAGGCAACCCGAGGAUAAAGGCCUUGCUCAGUGUCACACAUUUCAGUCACUAAAUAAGACACAAUGGAUGCCAGUAUUCUCAUCCCCUCACAAAUAAAGAGCCUUCAAGCUCUUGCAGUCAACAAGAACUUUUGGAAUGAUUUCACUGCCUGAAAAGGCAGAUACAUAGGUGACACCCACAAAUAGGAAGAAAAUCAACCUGAACCUGAGUGUGUGGGCUCACUGACUCUAAGCAGUAGAGACAGAAGAAAAAGUUUUAGCAAAGAAGGGUUCUGAAAGAAAAUAAAUAUAGCUCGUUAUCAAGUGCUGUUUUUACACAGUAAAACAUGGGCAAAAUUACUCUUCUUUAAGUAGUAAUUCUUAUCUCUUGAUUAAGUCACCUACUCAUUCAUUUAAUAAAUACAUACUGAUUGUUUUCUAUGUGUUGAGCACUCAUCUCUGUAUUGGAAAUAUAAUAAUGACCAAAGUUGACAAUAGUAAUAACAAUAAUAGCUAAUAUAGCAGGCACUAAUAAUUAUUUGUUGAGUAAUAUGUCAAAAUUCAGUGUGAACAGCAUUCUAUUUGGGGCUGCAUCCACUGACUAUAACACAGCUAAUCUAUCUGAAAUGUUCCAGCUUUGGGCCUCUCUAACAGAAGAAGCUGUUGUUGGGCCUGCCUCUAGUUGGCGAUGCAUCCACCAAUGAGAAUGAAUUUAUGAUCGACCACUCUUCCUGUAAAGGCCGCUGGAACUGACAGCAUUGUGAUUUUCUUUUACUGUUAGUUUUAAAUUACUAGAACCAACUCAAUUACUAGAACGAACUUUACUUCUUUGUUUCCUACUUAUCAAAACAGUAAAAACAACAAGUAAAAGAAAUGCCAUCUUAAUAUUGUUUUGAUGACAAAACAGUAUUCCUUUUAGUUGUGCUUCAAAUGGAAUAAGAUGCAAACAGGCUUGGUAUGGUGGCUCACCCCUGUAAUCCCAGCCCUUUGGGAGGCCAAGGUGGAAGGAUUGCUUGAGGCCAUGAGUUUGAGACCAGCCUGCGCAACAUAGCAAGACCGUGUCUCUACAAAAAAUAAAAAAUUAGCUGAGUGUAGUGGUGUGUGCUUGUGGUCCCAGCUACUUUUGAGGCUGAGGAGGGAGAAUCUCUUGAGCCCAGAAGGUCGAAGUUGCAGUGAGCCGUGAUCGUGCCAUUGCUCUCCAGCUUGGACAACAAAGCAAGACCCUAUGUCAAAAAAUAAAUAAAUAAAAGACAUAAACAUAUCUGAGAUUAACUUUCAGUGGUAAAUUUGUUCCAUAUAUGAUUUUUAAGGUUAAAUGCUUUGGAAGCUUUAAAAACCAUUUCAGCCCUUUUAAAUGCCAACUUACACUGAUGAUGCUCUCAGAUGUUAGGAAAUCUUUUGAGCAGAAAAUGGAAGUGGGGGUGUUGAGGCAGGGAGGAGAGUGAUGCAAUAUUCCUUAGUGUCAUCCUGUGAUUUCACAAUUUGUUUUUCAAUCUGUUUGGACUUUCAAAAGGGAAGACUCUCAUAUGUCAACAAGCCCAUGAACUGAAGCUUAAAACACUGGAAACAACAACUGUAGAGUUUCAAGUAUAUGUACAUUUAUGUAUUCAUGUUCCUUGAUGGGAAUGCUGGCUGGUGUGAAUGUUCAAUCUCCUGAGAAAUGUAAAUUUUUCUCUGACAGAUUUAUUAGCUUGCUGUAUCUGAGCACAUGAGCAAAAACAAUGCCUAAUAAGAAAACUUUCUCUCUCCUUCAAAGUCAAACUUGGGAGAAAUGAAGGGAAAUCGAGUUUUCUUUGCUUGACAGUGUUCAACAUUCUUGUAGUCAGUGUGCUCAUGAAGAUUGCAAACUUUUUUUUUUUUUUAGAGCAGCUAGGACUACAGGCGCGCACCACCACACCCAGCUAAUUUGUGUAUUUUUAGUAGAGAUGGGGUUUUAACUAUGUUGGCCAAGCUUGUCUCAAACUCCUGACCUCAAGUGAUCCAUUCGACAGCUCUUUCUUUUUUUUUUUUUUUUUUGAGACAAAGUCUCGCUCUGUCACCCAGGCUGGAGUGCAGUGGUAUGAUCUCAGCUCACUGCAACCUCCGCCUCCUGGGUUCAAGCAAUUCUCAUGCCUUAGCCUCCCGAAU